GGCAGGUAUUGUUAAUUAUGUAAAUAUUAUUGUGCUAAAUAUUGUAUUCUGUUUAUUUCCUUUUCAGAAACUCAGUACUGUGUUUUAAAGAUCUAUUCAUAAUGAUGUGCGUACAUCUGGUUCUUAGCUUCUACUUGUUGAAGAGUCUUCAUGGUGCGUGUAACCCCUUUCACCUAUCUACUCAGCCAGUGGACACCAAGUCUCUGCCAUGAUGACCAUUCUCAUACAGCUUCCCUCAUGGACUCACACACCUGCAGUGGAAUUGGUCUCACCUACCAAAUCAUAAUAAAUAUCUAUAUAUUUGGAGAUAGAGAUGAAAACCAUGUGGCUGUAUCCAGUUGGAGUGAAAAAUAUGAACUGAGAAAACCUGAACUUGACCUACGGUCUGGAACAGAGCCACCCAGAUGACCCACAGACACUGGGAGAGAAAUGAAGACUUAUUGUUUUAGACUUUGAUAUUCUGGAAUUGAUUGCAGCAUCAUUACGGCAAAAGCUGACUAAUACAAUUCCAUUUUUUAUUCUAUUAAGUUUUUUAUUAAAAAAGUAUAUAACCAUUGUUGAAAAAUUAGAAAAUACAGAAAAUCAAAAUGAAGAAAAAAAUUGGGUAGGAAGACAGGCUCAAACAACUAUGAUGCAAUUACAUGUUUAUUUACAAUUGUGAUAAGUGCUAUAAAGGGAAAGUCUGUAUUCUAGGAUAAUAUUAAUAUUUAAAAAGAGGGCAUAGGCUAGGCAUGGUGGCUCAUGCCUAUAAUCCCAGCACUUUGGGAGGCCGAGGCGGACAGAUCACCUGAGGUCAGGAGUUUGAGACCACCCUGGUCAACAUGGUGAAAUCCCAUCUCUACUAAAAAUACAACAAUUAGCUGGGCGUGGUGGCACAUACUUGUAAUCCCAGCUGGUUGGGAGGCUGAGGCAGGAGAACCACUUGAACCCGGGAGGCGGAGGUCACAGUGCCUGGGCGACAGAGCGAGACUCCGUCUCAAAAAAAAAAAAAAAGAAGGCAUGAUAUAAUCUGGAAUCAGGAAAAACUUUCCAAAAGAAAUAAUAUUACGCAUAUCAUGUAUUAAAUACAUAAAAACUAUAAUGUUUUAUCUAUUAUAAUACACACAUACUUUUAUAUUACAAAUAGUUUAGUUCUUAUAUAUAUUUCUUAUACAUAUUUCUCUCAUAUAUAAUGUAACAUGUAUAAGAGAACAUAUUACUGAAUUUAUUCUCUUCAAUGGACAAUAUAAAAUUAACAUCUUUCCAUAUUAACAAAUAUGUUCUCACAUCAUCAUUUAUUUUAAUGCCUGUCUCAUAUUCCAGUGAUAUGUGUGGGCCAUGGUUGAUUCAACCCAUCCUCUGAUGUUGGACAUUUGAGUUGAUUUUCAUUUUUUGUCACUCUGAACAAUCUUGUAAUGAACAUUCUAGCAAGGACUCUAACCUGUUUGCUGAAGAGAAAUAAUUGUGGUGAAAAUGAGAAAAUUAUGUGCUGCGAAGCAAAAUUCUAUGACAUAUCCUGACCUUAUGUAUCCCCUCAGGAGGCAUAAUGGAAAUAUUUAUGUUUGAAAUAAAAUUUCUCAUGUACUUCCAGCUACACUCAGUGAGUCAUUCCUGAAGAUCCUUGGGGAAAAUUUAGACUAUGUUUCUUGGAUGAAGAUUGAUUGGUGGCAGACAGGGGCAGAACAUCAAGGGAGAUGAUAUAUAUGUAUAAAGUGGAGGAAACUAGACUAUUACUUCUGCUUUUUCAAGUCAAGAUGUGAUCUGCUGUCAUAAUAUUAUAUUGCUGGCUUGGCUUUUUUUUGUUUUUUUCUGUCAGUGUGGUUAUUGUUACUUCAUCUGUGGCCUGUUUCCAAAAGCAAUGAGUGAGCCCCCGC
ensembl:lincRNA